GUGGCCAGUUCGGCACCGUUUGUAAGGGUAGGUAGUCACAGGUUCCCCACGUUAACAAAAAAAAAAAUAACGGCUUUGGUUUUAAAUCAUUCGUAUUACUAUGCCAACACGUACAUUUGGAGGUAGUUGGUUUAAAUAAAUUAUAAUACUCCUUAAUAAUGUCCGACUCUCUGAAAAUAAAAAGUCACCCACUCAUCUCCGUUACUUUGGUCUCUAUAAUUUAUUCCUCGAAAACAGAAUGAAUAUUAAUUAAAAAUCUUAAAUUUUUUACGAACAGGCGGAAGCCACAUGUUAGGAUCAUUUCAACGAGGCCUUUGCCGAUGCGUGUGACAUUUUAGUUUCCAUUCUUUUUGUGUAUAUAUAUGAAUAUAAAUGUCAUAUAUUUAUGUGUACAUAAUGCUGGUGUGAAAGCAGGACAAAUUAAGCGAGGCGGUGGAAGAGGCGAGUAGGAAAAUAGAGGAGAUGCGAUUAGAGGGUAAAGAGGAGGUAGGAAAAGCUUAGGAAACCAAAGAUUCCACUGCAUAAAGGUAUAAAAGGAGGAGAUGUGAGAAACAAAAAACUCUGUCUUCGCCGAUACGAUGCUCCGGCGAUUCCGUCGCCGGCAAAAGGAGGAAGAAGAAGUGGUAAUUCCUCGAGCUUGUCCGAUCUGGACGGCAAGAAUCAACAAGCUUUUUUUUGUCAUGAAUCAGCAAGGUAACUUACACAAGAAUUACACUGAUGCAAGAAUCAGGUAGAGAAAUGGCAACUUGAAUUCUUGUGCAUUCUCAUUUCUGUAUGUGUGGAGGAGGAUUAACAGUGCAGAAAUAGGUAGCUGAUCAGAAAACCUUCUUUCA